AAUAACAACAAGCAAGGGAGGAGCUGUUUCAAAGACAAACACCGCCUACUACUACUACUACACUCACGUGGACUGGCUGAGGUCAAAUUUAAAACCAUGAAAUUUUCCCGUCUCUGAAGAGCACUACUGCUGACCAUUUCUGCAAUCUGCAGGCGCAAAAUCAUCACCAAGAAGAACAAACGUGCUUUGUAAGACAAUUUCUUGCGACCUCUUAUGGUGGAAGUGAUGCGACCUCGUGAUGACAAUGACAAAAUUGGAAAGUAGGGUGCAAGAUCAGCAGAAGUCACUAGAAAUACAUGAUAGGUACCAUCGAACAUUUGAAACAAACUCAGGCUGCUGCACCCACUGGACCUGAUUUAUCCCUGCUGGACGGAUUGCUACCAAUACAAAGAUAUGUAGACUUUGAGGACUUUGAACAACAGAUAAAUGGGGACAGUCCCCUUAGAAAGUCACUGGUACAUAGACUCUAGAUUCUUGGGGGAGCAACCGUCAGCAGUCAAAACCAUGAUUGACUUCUGCAUGACAAGUGGACUAUAGUAUGAGUUCAACCGGGAAGGUCGUCUUGGCUGGAAGACGAAAACAAAUACAUGCAAGAAAGGGUUCAAGAACACGACAUUGUGUGGAAUUAUAAUAAAUAUUCUGGUGAACAAGACAAUUAUCAACUGAUGAAACUGAAGUAGGGAAAACUAUGAUGAUUUAUCUAGGAAAACCUAAUUCUGGUGGGGAUCCUGAAGGAAUAUGAUAUAGAGCACUUUUGCCGACUGUUGUCGAGGAAAUUAUAAAUAUUCAUGUAAUUUGUUUAUCACUCAAAUUUAUCUUAUUAUUUUCAGUCUUUUGAUUAGAUUUUUAUAUUUAAAUGAAUAAUUUUUAUUAUGUUUAAAUGAAUAAUUUAUGUAGAGACGUAUCAUUCUUUUCUGUCUAAUGUUUGUUGUGACUUCAUGCAAGAUGCUACAUCCAUUUAUCUCUUACAUACAGUGCUGUACUUAAUGAAUGGCAAUUUGUGUUCCUGCAUUACUUUUUUUUUUAAUUAAAUGGAUGUACCAUCUUGCACAAAGUCACAUCAAACAGACAGUAAUCCAUGAAUAUUUA